UACGUAGGGGGCAAGCGUUAUCCGGAUUUACUGGGCGUAAAGCGCGUGUAGGUGGUUGCGCAAGUUGGUUGUGAAAUCUCCCGGCUCAACCGGGGAAACUGCAGCCAAUACUGCGUGGCUAGAGUGGCAGAGAGGAAAGUGGAAUUCCCGGUGUAGUAGUGAAAUGCGUAGAUAUCGGGAGGAACACCAGCGGCGAAGGCGACUUUCUGGCUGCCAACUGACACUGAGACGCGAAAGCUAGGGGAGCGAACGGG
rnacentral:rRNA from 1 species